UACGGAGGGAGCUAGCGUUGUUCGGAUAUACUGGGCGUAAAGCGCACGUAGGCGGCGCAGCAAGUCAGGGGUGAAAUCCCGGAGCUCAACUCCGGAACUGCCUUUGAAACUGCAGUGCUAGAAUCCUGGAGAGGCGAGUGGAAUUCCGAGUGUAGAGGUGAAAUUCGUAGAUAUUGGGAAGAACACCGGUGGCGAAGGCGGCUCACUGGCCCGUUACUGACGCUCAGGCGCGACAGCGUGGGGAUCAAACAGG
rnacentral:rRNA from 1 species